GGUUGGGUUUGCUCUCUCUGCGUGUCUGGGGCGGGGGUGGCCCGUAGUGUCGAUCGCCAAGUGAGAGGAUUUAGGGGUGUUGGGGCCUGUACGUUUCCGUAGCUAAUAAGUACUAUUGUAGUCAACUUGCCCGAGAGCCAGAAGGGAGCCCAGCCCGCAAGGCGGUCGCACCACCCUCGCCUGCACCCACCCUCGCCCGCGGCUCCCGCCAGCCGACUCGCUGAGGCCCACCUCGCGGUUCUUUCUGUGGGAGCAAGACUGCACCGCCCAGGGGACCCACAGACCCUUGAGAGGGUACACAAGCCCCAGAGGUCUCAUUGAAAACCAUGGAGAGAGACACACGGCUUAGCAGCCAGGAGCAGGAGGUGGUGCUGUGAGUGGGAAAGAUACUAGCCCAGGCAUCAGGAAGACCAACUCUUUCGGCAAGCCACUUCACCUUCCAGUUUGAUGAUCUCUAAAAUGAGUAUAAUGGGAGAAGAAGCACUGAUGGAAGUGCUGCUCUCAGCGCUCUCACCCUGGCCACUGGGUCUCUUUGAAGCUCAAGGCAGAGGCCAGUGAUCCACAGUGGAGAAGUGAACAUUCCAUCUCAUUUGAUCUCCAGACAACUCACUGAAUUCACUUUUCGCAUCCACAUUUUUCACCAAGUAGCAUUGACGAGAGAGAGAGGCAGAGCUUGUGGCAAUGUGAGAUUUCAGAUCCCGGGCUGCAGAGGUCCUCCGUCUGCUUCCUUCCCCUGGGCCUGCUCAACAGCAGCACAAUGACCCACGGAUGGGGCCUCCCAGGCGCAUGUUCUAGAAGCUGUAGUUACAGGACCGAGGAGGCCUGCCCUACUGCCAGCAGACUUUACCUGAAUGAGAAACAGAGAGAGAGAACACAAGCGGGGGAGCGGCAGAGAGAGAGAGAGAGAAGCAGGGUCGCCGCCGAGCGGGGAGCCCGUCGCGGGACUUGAUCCCAGGACCCCGGGAUCAUGACCUGAGCCGAAGGCGGACGCUUCACCGACUGAGCCACCCAGGUGCCCCUCUAGUAAUAUUUUUAUCGUUGAAUUCUACUUUAAUUCUACUGUGGUCAGAGACAUACUCUCUAUGAUUUCAGUCCUUUGAAAUUUAUUGAGAAUUUGCUUUAUGGCUGAACAUAAAGUCAAUUUUAGUAAGUUUUGCAUGUGCCCCCAAAAGGUGUGUAUUCUGUCUUUGCUGAGGGUGUCGUUCUAUGGAUGCCAAUUAAGUUGUGAUUUUAUACAGGUCUUCUGUAUAUUUGUUGACUUUGUUAUUUAUAUCUUUACUGACUUUUUAUCUAUAAAAACUAUUGUCUCUUGGUGACUCUUAGUCUAUUAAUGGUCUAUUAGCUACUGUGAGAAGGAUGUUCAGGUGACCAGUUUUGAUUGUGCAUUUACCUACUUCUUCAUAUAGCUCUGUCAUGUUUUGCUUUACAUAUAUUGAAGAUAUGUUAUUAGAUGUGUAGAAAGUUCUGUUUCCUCUUCCUGGUAGAUUUACCCUCUUCUCACUGAGCAUACUCUCUCGUUAUUUCUCGUAAUGCUUCUUGCCUUAAAGUCCACCAUCUUUGACAUUAGUGUGGCUCCAUCGAAUUCCUUUUGGUUAGUGUUUGCCUUGUUUAUCUUUUGCCAUCCUUUUACUUCUAAUCUGUCUAUGUUCCUAUAUUUAAGACAUAUUUUUGUAAGCAGCAUGUAGCUGGGUUUUGUUUUCCAUCCAGUCUAGCAAACUUUGUAUUGUAAUUAUUCCACUAACAUUUAAUGUUAGACUGAUACAUUUGUUUUCCAUUUGUCCCACUUAUUUUUAUGUCUCUUUCUCUCUACUCUGUUGCCUUUUAUUUUGUUAUUUCAUUUCCUUUUCAUUAGUUUGAUAGUCAUACAUUAUUUUCCUAUUCUGGUCUGAUGUCAUUAGAGAUUAUCGACCCAUCUACUGACCCUGGAGUGCCUGGUGUGUGCUGGGCAUCACAGAAGGUGCUUUACAAAAUUAAGCUCUAUUCUUGACCACCUCACUGAGCAGUUUUAAUUAUUCCCAUG